rnacentral:lncRNA from 1 species
AAAACCUCAACAAAUUUUUACAUUAUAUAUUAUAGACAAAAUUUGUACAUUAUACAUAAAUAUCAAGUGUUCAAUAAUUCCCCUAUUCCAGGUGAAGGCAAACAAACUCUGCCCAUUCAUUCCAGACUUCAUCAAUUGCUUCUUGGGGGUAUGGCGCUUCCUGUUUUCCCUUGGCAUACUGCAUAAACAAUGACUAUUAGGGUUUAUAAAUAAAAAGAAAUUCAA